AACGUAGGAGCCUAGCGUUAUCCGAAUUCACUGGGCGUAAAGCGCGUGCAGGCGGUUUGGUAAGUUGGAUGUGAAAUCUCCUGGCUCAACUGGGAGAGGACGUUCAAGACUGUCGGACUAGAGGACGGUAGAGGAAGGUAGAAUUCCCGGUGUAGUGGUGAAAUGCGUAGAUAUCGGGAGGAAUACCAGUGGCGAAGGCGGCCUUCUGGGCCGUUCCUGACGCUCAGACGCGAAAGCUAGGGGAGCAAACGGG
rnacentral:rRNA from 1 species